UUCUACUUGAGUGGCAGUAGAAUAAACCUCUUCAAUGGGAAUUCAUGUGUGUUGUGAUACUAAAAGGAAUGAUCCUGUGAGUUAUGGGCCUGCUUAAAUUCAUUUUGAAAACAAUUCUUCAAAUGGUACCAACCUAAAGAAGGAAAUUGUUGAGUAUGAACUUGUUGAUCCUGUUGAUAUAUUGACUCCUUUAGAGAAGACAAGAUUUUAGGAUGGAGUGCUUAAACCAGGUGAAGCAUUGUAUCUAGGGGCAAAUGAAGUCCAUGUAGGCUAACAUGGUGAGUGUCUUGAAUGCAUGGCAACUUCAGACAUUGUUGUGCGUGCUGGCCUAACUCCAAAGAACCGGGAUGUCCAAAUUCUUUGUUCCAUGCUCACAUACAAACAGAUGAGGAUAUUUUUCAUUGAAAAAUGUUAUGUUUGUUUGGUGGUUCUUGCUCCUUCUAUUUUUAUUUUUUCCUUUUUUAAUAUUAAACCUAACUAAUUCAUGAGGCCUCUAGUUCAUAAAACCCUGUAAUAUCCAAGUGUGCUUUCCUUUAUAAUAUAAGAUGCCAGAAAUUAGAUGCCCUGCCAAAUUGACUGUAUGGGUGGGCAAAACAUUUUUCUUGUUAAAGCAUAAAGAAGGACAAUCUACCUCCAAAAUAGCUACUUUCAUGCCUGUUUAUAUUCCCCACUUUCCAUUCUUUUUGUCCACUAAUGCCUUUUGGCAUAUUCCAAUAUUGUUGUCCAUUUUUAAAAGAAAGGUAUUUUAUUUUGCAUUUUACAAUAUCAUUAUUUUUGGAUGAGUAUGAAUGCAUUUACCAAACCGAAACAAAUUAAACCUUGUGUCU